AGUGGACGCUGGCGGUAGGCCUAACACAUGCAAGUCGAACGGCAGCACAGUAAGAGCUUGCUCUUACGGGUGGCGAGUGGCGGACGGGUGAGGAAUACAUCGGAAUCUACUUUUUCGUGGGGGAUAACGUAGGGAAACUUACGCUAAUACCGCAUACGACCUACGGGUGAAAGCAGGGGAUCUUCGGACCUUGCGCGAUUGAAUGAGCCGAUGUCGGAUUAGCUAGUUGGCGGGGUAAAGGCCCACCAAGGCGACGAUCCGUAGCUGGUCUGAGAGGAUGAUCAGCCACACUGGAACUGAGACACGGUCCAGACUCCUACGGGAGGCAGCAGUGGGGAAUAUUGGACAAUGGGCGCAAGCCUGAUCCAGCCAUACCGCGUGGGUGAAGAAGGCCUUCGGGUUGUAAAGCCCUUUUGUUGGGAAAGAAAAGCAGCAGGUUAAUACCCCGCUGUUCUGACGGUACCCAAAGAAUAAGCACAGGCUAACUUCGUG
rnacentral:rRNA from 1 species